CGACAGACCACUUCAUGUCACCAAUUUCUCAAGGAGUUCUGAGAGAGAGAUAAAGGAUUUACAAAGUAUGGCUUUUUCCCUCACACUUUUUCUAGUAAAUGACUGCCACUUGUAUUUACAAUGUGCUGCUCAUAGAACAAGCUAUCCCAGGUUCCAAACUCCCUUUCCAAGCAGAGGUUCAUGAGAAAUCGUGAAUACCUAAUUCUCCUCAAGGUGAUCACCAGAACUACAAAUUACAGAAGAAUAUAAAGAAGAUAUUGUUACUCUAACAUCAGUUUGAUGACCUACCACAGCAUCUCUAGAGAAUGCCCUAGGAUGGAGAAUUUGGAGCUUCAAUCAUUUCUCUACUGUAGGAAUAAUUAUGGUUCCAGAUCAUAGUGCUGCCUUACUCUUUGUAGG
rnacentral:lncRNA from 1 species